rnacentral:rRNA from 1 species
CAGUAGCCGCGGGAAUACGAACCGUGCGUACGUUAUUCGGAAUUACUGGGCUUAAAGCGCGUGUAGGCGGGCCGCCACGUCGGUUGCUGAAAUCCCCCGGCUCAACCGGGGAAGUGGCAUCGAUACGAGCGGCCUUGAGGGGGGUAGGGGGAUCUGGAACUUCCGGUGGAGCGGUGAAAUGCGUUGAGAUCGGAAGGAACGCCCGUGGCGAAAGCGAGGUCCUGGACCCUUUCUGACGCUGAGACGCGAAAGCCAGGGGAGCGAACGGGAUUAGAUACCCGCGUAGUCCCUGUCUCUUAUA